rnacentral:rRNA from 1 species
GAUGAACGCUGGCGGCGUGCUUAACACAUGCAAGUCGAACGGAAAGGCCCAAGCUUGCUUGGGUACUCGAGUGGCGAACGGGUGAGUAACACGUGGGUGAUCUGCCCUGCACUUCGGGAUAAGCCUGGGAAACUGGGUCUAAUACCGGAUAGGACGAUGGUUUGGAUGCCAUUGUGGAAGGUUUUUUCGGUGUGGGAUGAGCUCGCGGCCUAUCAGCUUGUUGGUGGGGUAAUGGCCUACCAAGGCGUCGACGGGUAGCCGGCCUGAGAGGGUGUACGGCCACAUUGGGACUGAGAUACGGCCCAGACUCCUACGGGAGGCAGCAGUGGGGAAUAUUGCACAAUGGGCGCAAGCCUGAUGCAGCGACGCCGCGUGGGGGAUGACGGCCUUCGGGUUGUAAACUCCUUUCGCUAGGGACGAAGCGUUUUUGUGACGGUACCUGGAGAAGAAGCACCGGCUAACUACGUG